rnacentral:rRNA from 3 species
AAAUUGAAGAGUUUGAUCAUGGCUCAGAUUGAACGCUGGCGGCAGGCCUAACACAUGCAAGUCGAACGGUAACAGGAAACAGCUUGCUGUUUCGCUGACGAGUGGCGGACGGGUGAGUAAUGUCUGGGAAACUGCCCGAUGGAGGGGGAUAACUACUGGAAACGGUAGCUAAUACCGCAUAACGUCGCAAGACCAAAGAGGGGGACCUUCGGGCCUCUUGCCAUCGGAUGUGCCCAGAUGGGAUUAGCUAGUAGGUGGGGUAACGGCUCACCUAGGCGACGAUCCCUAGCUGGUCUGAGAGGAUGACCAGCCACACUGGAACUGAGACACGGUCCAGACUCCUACGGGAGGCAGCAGUGGGGAAUAUUGCACAAUGGGCGCAAGCCUGAUGCAGCCAUGCCGCGUGUAUGAAGAAGGCCUUCGGGUUGUAAAGUACUUUCAGCGGGGAGGAAGGGAGUAAAGUUAAUACCUUUGCUCAUUGACGUUACCCGCAGAAGAAGCACCGGCUAACUCCGUGCCAGCAGCCGCGGUAAUACGGAGGGUGCAAGCGUUAAUCGGAAUUACUGGGCGUAAAGCGCACGCAGGCGGUUUGUUAAGUCAGAUGUGAAAUCCCCGGGCUCAACCUGGGAACUGCAUCUGAUACUGGCAAGCUUGAGUCUCGUAGAGGGGGGUAGAAUUCCAGGUGUAGCGGUGAAAUGCGUAGAGAUCUGGAGGAAUACCGGUGGCGAAGGCGGCCCCCUGGACGAAGACUGACGCUCAGGUGCGAAAGCGUGGGGAGCAAACAGGAUUAGAUACCCUGGUAGUCCACGCCGUAAACGAUGUCGACUUGGAGGUUGUGCCCUUGAGGCGUGGCUUCCGGAGCUAACGCGUUAAGUCGACCGCCUGGGGAGUACGGCCGCAAGGUUAAAACUCAAAUGAAUUGACGGGGGCCCGCACAAGCGGUGGAGCAUGUGGUUUAAUUCGAUGCAACGCGAAGAACCUUACCUGGUCUUGACAUCCACGGAAGUUUUCAGAGAUGAGAAUGUGCCUUCGGGAACCGUGAGACAGGUGCUGCAUGGCUGUCGUCAGCUCGUGUUGUGAAAUGUUGGGUUAAGUCCCGCAACGAGCGCAACCCUUAUCCUUUGUUGCCAGCGGUCCGGCCGGGAACUCAAAGGAGACUGCCAGUGAUAAACUGGAGGAAGGUGGGGAUGACGUCAAGUCAUCAUGGCCCUUACGACCAGGGCUACACACGUGCUACAAUGGCGCAUACAAAGAGAAGCGACCUCGCGAGAGCAAGCGGACCUCAUAAAGUGCGUCGUAGUCCGGAUUGGAGUCUGCAACUCGACUCCAUGAAGUCGGAAUCGCUAGUAAUCGUGGAUCAGAAUGCCACGGUGAAUACGUUCCCGGGCCUUGUACACACCGCCCGUCACACCAUGGGAGUGGGUUGCAAAAGAAGUAGGUAGCUUAACCUUCGGGAGGGCGCUUACCACUUUGUGAUUCAUGACUGGGGUGAAGUCGUAACAAGGUAACCGUAGGGGAACCUGCGGUUGGAUCACCUCCUUACCUUAAAGAAGC